rnacentral:rRNA from 1 species
UACGAAGGGGGCGAGCGUUGUUCGGAAUUACUGGGCGUAAAGGGCGCGCAGGCGGCUCUGAAAGUCAGAUGUGAAAGCCCCGGGCUUAACCUGGGAAUUGCAUUUGAUACUCUGGAGCUUGAGUGUGGGAGAGGAGAGUGGAAUUCCCAGUGUAGAGGUGAAAUUCGUAGAUAUUGGGAAGAACACCGGUGGCGAAGGCGGCUCACUGGACCGGUACUGACGCUGAUGCGCGAAAGCGUGGGGAGCAAACGGG